CCUACGGGUGGCAGCAGUGAGGAAUAUUGGUCAAUGGCCGGAAGGCUGAACCAGCCAAGCCGCGUGAAGGACGAAGGUGCCAAGCAUUGUAAACUUCUUUUGUCAAGGGACAAAAUCAGGCUCGAGAGCCUGACCGAGGGUACUUGAAGAAAAAGCAUCGGCUAACUCCGUGCCAGCAGCCGCGGUAAUACGGAGGAUGCGAGCGUUAUCCGGAUUUAUGGGGUUUAAAGGGUGGGAAGGCGGGCUGUUAAGUCAGCGGUAAAAGCCCGGGGUUAAACCGCGGCCAGCCGUUGAAACUGGCUGUCUUGAGAUGUCGAGAGGUAUGCGGAAUGCGCAGUGUAGCGAUGAAAUGCUUAGAUAUUGCGCAGAAUUCCGAUUGCGAAGGCAGUAUACCGGCGGCGAUCUGACGCUGAGGCACGAAAGCGUGGGUAUCGAACAGGAUUAGAUACCCGGGUAGUC
rnacentral:rRNA from 1 species